CGGGGGGGGGGGGGGGGUUGAAUUAGAUGACUCUUGGGGUCCCUUCCUACUUCACAGUUCUACGAAUCUGUGAUUAUAAUACUCCCUCACUAUGCUGUGCAGAGACUUAUCAUCAUCAUCAUCGAAUUGUAGAGUUGUAAAGGAUCCCAAAGGGUCAUCCAGCCUGACCCCCUACAAGACAGGAAUCACAGCUCAGGAAUCCCCAAAAGAUGGCCAUCCAACAACAGUUUCAAAACCUCUGAUGAAGGAGAGUCCGCCACCUACCAAGGGACUGUUCCCCUGUUGAAUGGCUCUUAUUAAGCCUAACUAAAAUCAAUCAUAAGCUAAAAUCACCUGUCAACAUUUUUACACGUCUGGAUAAGCAGUUGCCUUUAAAAAAAUGUUUUUAGCAGGAGCCAAAUAGAGUACAGUGAAGGCACCCAGCUGAUGUCUGUAGGUAGGGGGUUGCAAAGUGUCGGUGCUGCCACACUCAAAGACGGGAUUUCUGACAAAGUAAAAUGUGGCACCUGAGAAGCAGUACCAGUUCCUUAGCAGUUCAGGGGCUUCUCUCCCUCUAUGGGAUGAACCCCCCACUGAUGCCUAGGGGGGCCAUCUCCCAAGGAAUGGAGAAGGUGAGAAACAACGCUCUGGUUUCUGUCACAGGAGGAAGGAGAGAGCGCCAAAGCGAAGGACUUCAUCAGCCUCGGGCUGAAGGACGGGCACCUGGUGUUCAGUUACCAGCUAGGAAGCGGAGAAGUGAACAUCCUGUCCGAAGACCCAGUUGAUGAUGGAGAAUGGCACAGAGUGACAGCCAUCCGGGAAGGGAAAAGAGGCUUCCUUCAAGUUGACGGCGAGGAGAUGGUAGCUGGGGAAUCUCCUGGCAAGAAAGUCAUGGUGAAUACCAAAGGUCGAAUUUAUAUAGGUGGAGCACCUGACAUCCAAACCCUGACCGCAGGAAAGUACAUCUCAGGGAUCACGGGCUGCAUCAAGAAUGUGGUGCUGAUCAACGACCGGCCCAGCCAGCAGCCUCAGCAGCCCAUUGACCUGGACCAUCACUCUGAGGCCGUUCUCAACAUCCAGGAGUGCUCCUCAUAGGCCGGGCUUGCCUCUUAACCACACUCUUCGCUGUAUUAUUUUUUUUGUCAUCAGACCAAUUGAGAGACAUCUAUUAUUAUUGU